rnacentral:rRNA from 1 species
GGCUCAGGAUGAACGCUAGCUACAGGCUUAACACAUGCAAGUCGAGGGGCAGCAUUGGGAUAGCUUGCUAUUCAGAUGGCGACCGGCGCACGGGUGAGUAACGCGUAUCCAACCUUCCUGCCAGUAGGGAACAGCCCGGCGAAAGUCGGAUUAAUGCCCUAUGUUCUUCAAUGCGGACAUCUAAGUUGAAGGAAAGAUUCAUCGCUGGCAGAUGGGGAUGCGUCCGAUUAGCUUGCCGGCGGGUAACGGCCCACCGGGGCGACGAUCGGUAGGGGUUCUGAGAGGAAGGUCCCCCACACUGGUACUGAGACACGGACCAGACUCCUACGGGAGGCAGCAGUGAGGAAUAUUGGUCAAUGGGCGUAAGCCUGAACCAGCCAAGUAGCGUGCAGGAAUGACGGCCCUACGGGUUGUAAACUGCUUUUAUGCGGGGAUAAAGUGCGGCACGUGUGCCGCUUUGCAGGUACCGCAUGAAUAAGGACCGGCUAAUUCCGUGCCAGCAGCUGC